GAAAGUUCCGGCGGUACAGGAUGAGUCUGCAUCUGAUUAGCUAGUUGGUGGUGUAAUGGACUACCAAGGCGACGAUCAGUAGCUGGUUUGAGAGGAUGAUCAGCCACAAUGGGACUGGGACACGGCCCAUACUCCUACGGGAGGCAGCAGUAGGGAAUUUUGCGCAAUGGGCGAAAGCCUGACGCAGCAACGCCGCGUGAUCGAGACGCCCUUCGGGGUGUAAAGAUCUGUCAGUGGGGACGAAACUUGACGGUACCCACAGAGGAAGCACCGGCUAACUCCGUGCCAGCAGCCGCGGUAAUACGGGGGGUGCAAGCGUUGUCCGGAAUCAUUGGGCGUAAAGAGUUCGUAGGCGGCACGUAAAGUCUGGUGUUAAAGGCAGAGGCUCAACUUCUGUACGGCACUGGAUACUUGCGAGCUAGAAUGCGGUAGAGGUAAAGGGAAUUCCUGGUGUAGCGGUGAAAUGCUUAGAUAUCAGGAGGAACAUCGGUGGCGUAAGCGCUUUACUGGGCCGUAAUUGACGCUGAGGAACGAAAGCCAGGGUAGCAAAUGGGAUUAGAUACCCCAGUAGUCCUGGCCGUAAACGAUGGAUACUAGGUGUUGCGGGUAUCGACCCCUGCA
rnacentral:rRNA from 1 species